GAUGAACGCUGGCGGCGUGCCUAAUACAUGCAAGUCGAGCGAACAGACGAGGAGCUUGCUCCUCUGACGUUAGCGGCGGACGGGUGAGUAACACGUGGAUAACCUACCUAUAAGACUGGGAUAACUUCGGGAAACCGGAGCUAAUACCGGAUAAUAUAUUGAACCGCAUGGUUCAAUAGUGAAAGACGGUUUUGCUGUCACUUAUAGAUGGAUCCGCGCCGCAUUAGCUAGUUGGUAAGGUAACGGCUUACCAAGGCGACGAUGCGUAGCCGACCUGAGAGGGUGAUGGGCCACAUGGGAACAGAGACAGGGUCGAGACGCCGGGGGGAGGAGAGAGGGGGAAGUUGUCCAGAAGGGGCGAAAGCCGGAGGGAGCAGCGCGGGGUGAGGAAUGAAGGUUUUGGGAUCUAAAAACUGUUAAAUGGGGGAAAAAAAAAUGGUAAAGAAAUUAUGCCCGUUUGGACGUUCCUUAACAGGAAGGCCCGGGCAAGCUCGGGC
rnacentral:rRNA from 1 species